rnacentral:lncRNA from 1 species
UGAAGGUUAAUUUAAGCGGACCUAAUUAACUUGGGGCGUUGAGAAUUCAUGGUUUAUUGAAAAGCAAUUGGGAAUCGUUUUGUAUGCAAGUAUAACAUGUGUGGAGAUGAACCCCUUAGCUAGCCUUCCAUCCAUUCAUUUAAAUCAAAUUCGUUUUUAAAAUCUGUCUAGUUUACAAAGUUUGUUUUGUUUUCAAAUUCGUCCAAAAUCAAUCCCCCUUUUCCCCCUUUUUGAGUCAUAUUAGUUAGAAGUCAAGUUAGUUUUGUUUUUAAGUGUCUUAGGUCAAGUUAAAACCAAUUUUCGUCCAAGUUUGUGUCUAGUGUUCAAAACUGCCCAGAUUGUGUUUUUAAGGAAGUUUUGAGUGUUUUGGUGCUGUUUUGAGUCUUUUGGUUUGUU